GUGGGGAAUAUUGGGCAAUGGGCGAAAGCCUGACCCAGCAACGCCGCGUGAAGGAAGAAGGUUUUCGGAUUGUAAACUUCUGUCCUCAGGGAAGAAGGACGUGACGGUACCUGAGGAGGAAGCCCCGGCUAACUACGUGCCAGCAGCCGCGGUAAUACGUAGGGGGCGAGCGUUGUCCGGAAUGACUGGGCGUAAAGGGCGCGUAGACGGCUGUCUAAGUCUGGAGUGAAAGUCCUGUUUUCAAGGCGGGAAUUGCUUUGGAGACUGGAUGGCUUGAGUGCGGAAGAGGUAAGUGGAAUUCCCAGUGUAGCGGUGAAAUGCGUAGAGAUUGGGAGGAACACCAGUGGCGAAGGCGACUUACUGGGCCGUAACUGACGUUGAAGCGCGAAAGCGUGGGGAGCGAACAGGAUUAGAAACCCUGGUAGUCC
rnacentral:rRNA from 1 species